rnacentral:sRNA from 1 species
GAUAGGAGAACGCAGACUAAGACCGUCACUUCCUAUGACAACGUCUGCGUGACCCACGUCCGGUGGA